AUGGAUACUCUGGAAUGCGACAUAUGCUAUCUUCCAUUUGAGUCGCAAGUUUUCUCGUGCAAGAACGGCCACGCCGCGUGCGCCAACUGCUGCAUCAGCAUGCACCGCAAGUGCCCCUCCUGCAACGAGCCCAUCGGCGACUUCCGGUGCCGGGCAACGGAGAAGAUCCUCGCCGGCAUGACCAGGCCCUGCAGGUUCAAGAAGCACGGCUGCACGGAGACCGUCCGGUACACCGAGGCGCGCGCCCACGAGGAGGAGGCAUGUAGCUUCGCGCCGUGCCGCUGCCCGUUCGACGGCUGCGACUACCGCGGCCGCCUCCUCUACGGCCACAUCCUUGACGCCCACGCGCCAGGCGUCGAUGCCGCCACCCUCUUGCGUGGCGGCUGGCUGUCCUUUUCUGUGACACUACAGAAGUCGACGCCCUUCCGCGCUCUGCUCCACCCAGGCGAGAAGAGCGUGUUCCUCCUGCUCAACGGCGGCGACAUCCUCACCCAUACGCGGCCGAGGAGGACGAGGAGUACGACUACGAGAUGA
rnacentral:rRNA from 1 species